UACGGAGGAUGCAAGCGUUAUCCGGAUUCAUUGGGUUUAAAGGGUGCGUAGGCGGACUAUUAAGUCAGUGGUGAAAGCCUGCAGCUUAACUGCAGAACUGCCAUUGAUACUGAUAGUCUUGAGUUUGGUUAAGGUAGGCGGAAUGUGUAAUGUAGCGGUGAAAUGCUUAGAUAUUACACAGAACACCAAUUGCGUAGGCAGCUUACUGGGAUGCCACUGACACUGAGGCACGAAAGCGUGGGUAUCAAACGGGA
rnacentral:rRNA from 1 species